rnacentral:rRNA from 1 species
AUGGCGGCAAGGCUUGCACCCGUGCCGGAGUUGAGCACCGACGAGCCUGCGGCUGCGACUCCCUACCUGCCCUGCAGCCUCUACCGGGACUGGAUCCGGAGCGUUGCCGUGUCUGGAGCGCAGAUGAGAUCGACUGUUUUCUCCAUGUCCCAAUCCGGUGAUAGCGGAUCCAGCUACUCCAGCCACUCUAGCUACUCCAACUACUCUAGCGCCUCCUCUCGUUCGGCCGGCGCCGACGCCGACGACUUUGGCGCGAACGAGCUCACGAAGAUCGCUCACCAAAUGGUUAGCGACGGGUACACCCAGCGCAUGCUCCAAGCAUUCGUCGUCGCAUCUUCGCCAGCGUUGGACCGUGCCCUGGAGAAUCGGUUAUCCGGGAUCGAGCUGUACGACGUCCCAUCUCCGGUGCCAGCACUUGGAAACGGUGGCGGCCCGAACACCGUGCUGGAGACUUGGUUCUGCGAACUUGACGUGGGCUGGGUUCUCCAAAUUUGCCAGGAGCGUGGCUCACAGUGGCAGUUCCGACUCCAAGACAAGUCGGCAUCAUCGUUGCAAGACUUGGUCGAGAGGUGGAUCCGAGGUCUCACAGUGAUCGUCCAUAGUUUGACAGAGUUGGUCUCCAACUCUGUGGGGAUCUGCGUGGAGAGUAUGGCAACAGAACGGUUCGGCAAAGCCAGCAUUUCCAAGAUGCUCGUCUUCGUCGAGGCCAUCAUGCCUGAUCUCAAGGCUGAGAAGCUACAGGCCGUGCUAGACAUGUAUACAUGUGUCUCCAAUGCAUUACACAUGCUUAGGUCAUUUGGCAUGUCUACCAGAAACCAACAAAUAUUCAGCGCGGCAUGUGACUUGUUGAGUACACAAGGCGACAUGCUAUGGGAGGCCAUAUCCAGCACGAUGGAGGAGAUGAGGGCACUCGUCGAGGGCGACGAUGAUUUGUGGGCUAUGGAAAUUAAGCAUGGAGGAGGCGAGGUUCACAACAACACCCAUUUGGUGGUCAGUUCCAUCUUGUCCAUGAAGAAAACAGUGGCUUUGAUGACGGGAACCUUUACAUGGCUCGACUACGACUAUAAACUUGACGUCCUGAUAGAUGAGACGGUUUAUUAUCUAAAUGAUCUGCUUCUCAGAAAGUCGGAACUGUGCUUGGAUCCAAGCCUCAGGUACCUGUUCCUGCUUAACAAUUCCUAUUUCGUUGUGUCAUUGAAUCUUCAUCUUCCUUGGUGGUAUCAACGCUCCCUGAUAUUUAAACUUGCACCCGAAUGUAAGAAGUACAUGGAUAGUUAUCUCGAUGUUUCUUGGGGACAUGUGUUGUCCUGUAUACCCAAAUCAAAUUUUAAUGGACCGCUGCAAUGUUGGAAGAACACCUCCUCACUAGCUAAAUUCGAGUCAGCUUUCCACAAAACUUACCAGGCUCAGAAAUUCUAG